CCCACUAGGACGCUUCGAGGGCGCGGCCACGCCACGGCUCGCUUUACUUCCGCGCAGCCUGGCCUCCCAGCUGCGCAUGCGCCGCCUGACUGUCUCGGGGAGUCUGGAUGGCUAAGAAGGAAGGUCAGCCCGACGCUGCGGCGGGAGCCUCGUGAGUUAGGUCGUCGUUCAUCUGCAUAAUGACCAUUGAGGCGUCCUUCCGCCUGGAUGGACUGUCCGGGGGGCCCGCAUGGCCAGCAGUCCUCAGCCUGAGAGAGCCUGAGUCUGCAGCACCCAGAGGCAGUCAGCUGCGAUGUCAUGGGUAUCCAGUGGCCACUCUGGAGCCGUCAGUGGGCAACUGAGACCUCCUGCCAAGUCAUGUGUGCCAGUCACUGUGUGAUCAGACCCCCAGCCUCCUGCAACUGCCGCCUCAGGUGACAGUCUGGGUGGGAAAGACUCAGCCUGAAGCACCACGCUGAGCCAUCCUGUCCUGAUUCUCAGGAACUCUGUAAAGCAAUCAUACACGUGCUGUUUAGUUGCUUUAUCUAGGAGAGUUUUUGUAAAGCCCCAGUAACUGUUUGGAGCGACACUGAGAUCACCCUUCCACUUGGGAGCGCUGUCGUACAGCAGUACAGCCUAUGAAUCUCUCCUCAACAGGCUGAGGAGAAACACUUCCAUGGGACUCAGACCCACAAAUCAUCAAGUUGUCACUGGACACUUUCACAAAUCCCAGUUUGCAUACAGUUCCUAAAAGAAUAAGAGAAGUCUUCUGCUGAGGAUGACAGCGUGGAACUGAGCAUCUGUCCAUGUUACAGCCAACAGGAUGAAUAUGAGAAGCUGCCUAGAUGCUCUUGUGACCCCGUGGGCAAUACAGGAACCACUAUCACAAAGCACAUUGGUGACUGCCACCAACAAGAUCUGGAUGCAGAACACUCAGCUACUCUCCAGCACCAUGUGUGCCUGCUACCAUGCUCCCCACCAUGAUGACAAUGGACUAUGUAGAUGUAACCAACGGUCUUAUUAAAUAAGAAACACAGAGCCAAUUCAGAGAAGAAAGCCAAGAGGUCAGAGCUAAGAGCCUCACCCUUCCUGAUUCAGGGAUCCUCUUCAGCCAAGAGAGCUCUCCGAAAAGGACCUACUUCCUGUGUGUACGUCUUUAAAAUCUUCCUGUUCUGCCUUCUCAUUGGUUGUAAACCCAAACAUGUGACUGCCUCAUCACUGCCUGAAUGUACCGCCCUCCAGGUCCUUAAAGGCAUGCGCCACCACCGCCAUGCACUUGCUAUGGCUCUAAUAGCUCUGACCCCUAGACAACUUUAUUUAUUAACAUAUAAUUAAAAUCACAUUUCAGUACAAGUAAAAUACCACCACAGGACUAAACCUCUCAAACUCUAAGUAAGCCCCAGUUAAACGCUUUCCUUUAUAAGAGUUGCAGUGGUCAUAGUGUUUCUUCACAGCAAUGGAACAGUGAGUGACUAAGACGCUAGUGAUGGCCGGGAGUCACCACCAUGCUAGCUCGAGAGCCAAGCAGCAAGAGAGUUACUCAACCAUAGGGAAGACUUCCUGGCCACAGCUAUGGCCUUCUGUGGAUGACACAACCAACUCGCCAGCCUGCAGUGACUCAGCACAGAGAGAGCCAAAUAAUGAAGCCUGUGACCUCCUCCUUCUUCUACCCAGUCCCCUGCCCAUGCCUCAGCAACCAAACCCAUCCAGAGGCAGAGAACAAGGAAAUCACUGCUGUGGUCCAUGGGCUGAGCCAGCUUCUUGGGACAUAGAGAAAGAGGAAGAAAGACAGACAAAGAACCUGUUUAAUUUGCAGCUAUGAGUGUUGCACAUGAGGAAGGGCUCGGUUUUGCAAAUUUCCUUAAGAGACAUUUUUGUUGCUGAAAGAAAUCAAGGACUCCUGUCUAAAGACCGAGGCAAGCUAGAAGUCAUGUAGGAUCUGAGUUGUCAUGCUGGAGACAGCCAGAGGUUAUUUAGUGAGUCAUUCUUAAACGAUGAAGAUAUUUUAAAAUAACUCUAGGGGGAAAAUGUAUUAGGAUGUGUAUGCCAAGUAUAAAAACUUUUAAAAAGCCAGCACUCUUGCCUCAAUUUUUUGUAGUAAAACCCCAACUUAUUGAACUGGAAAUGGCAGCUUGAGAAGGAUGGAUAUUAGACAAUUUUUCUUAUUUUUCUUAGAAACCAUCCAGAAGGAAUAAGCACACUGAGAAACAGAAGAGCAAACACCACUUUUGGCAUCACAAGGUGAAACUCAAGCCACACAAACUGCAGAGGGAGUGGUUCCAGUGGGUAGUCAAGAGGUAUGUUCACAGUUGGUGAUUUCAGAGAAGGCUGAUGGACAUUCCAUGUUAGAGAGUUUGGAGGAGAGGGUGGCAAGCCAAGCCUAAGCCGGAGGGCAAUAUGCAGAGAUGAGAGGUGGAAGGGAUGUGGGCAGGGCUGAACAAAAGUUCAUAAACCACACAUUUGUAGGUUGGUCUCAGUCUGCCAGCAAGAAGACCAUUGUGGAGCCUAGAAUAUGGCUUUAGAUGGUAUAAGCUAAGUCAAUUCACCAUCUAAACCCUGACUUUGAGAGAGAGAGGGAGAGAACAGAGGAGAGGGGGAAGACCGGAAUGGGCCAGGGACAUGGAGGAAUUUUCAAGGGUGUGACCCCAGUUACCUGCUUCCUCCAACUAGUCUCCACCUCCUAAUUUAUGUCUUUCCCAAUACUGCCACCAAAUUAUGAAUCCACCAUUAGAUUCAUUCAUGUAAUAGGUCAGAAUCUCAUGACACAGUGGCUUCCCUAAAGUUCUUCCCCUGAUACUGCUGCACUGGGGACGAGGCCUUCACCAUGUGAGCCUUGUAGGGGACACUUCAUGUGCCAACCAUAAUAACACACACACACACACACACACACACACACACACACACACACACACACACACAGAGCAAAGGCCUUUGUAACAGUAGGACAAGGUGAAAGUGAACUGAUGAGAUUGGCUAGUUAGAAAUGGAGAGCACCUGCACCCAAAAGAAACAAAAAUAAAUGCUCAGUCAGCACAGGGAAACUCAGAAGAGCUGAGGAAAGACUGACACCUGUAUUGAGGAAAAAGGACUUUUUACUCUUCUGUAAAAAAUUUUAUAAUUAAGAAGAAAAUUGGGCACACUGUACAGAAAAUUCAUACAAAAUGAAAUUCAAAUGUAUCCACAUUAAGAGAUGUUAUUAACCUGGAAUAAAAGAAAGGCAACUUAAAACAUUGUUUAAAUUUUAUUCUGGUCUACAGAGUAAGGUCCUGGUCCUGGUCCUAUUCUGCCUGCAUGUAUACCUGCAAAAAAGAGGAGGGCACCAGAUCUCAUUAAAGAUGGUUGAGAGCCACCAUGUAGUUGCUGGGAAUUGAACUCAGGACGUCUGGAAGAACAGUCAGUGCUCUUAACCACUGAGCUAUCUCUCCAGCCCUGGCACAUGGCUUUCUUUAAUCCAGUACUUGGGAGGCAAAGGCAGGCAGAUCUCUCAGUUCGAGGCCAGCCUGGUCUACAGAGUAAGUUCCUGGUCCUGGUCCUGGUUUUUUGCCUGAAUUUAUCAAAUGUUAAUGGACUAGAUUACAUAAUGUAAUCUUGACUGUGUAUAUUGUAUAUACUUAUUGGAUAUAAUUUUUCUUGUAUUAGUUAUAAGCUUUUUUUUUAAGUUUAGACAAAAAGAGAGGAAAUGUGUUGGUAUUGUGUUCACCAAAAUAUUGUGAACCCUAAUAAAUUUUGGUCCUGGUCCUGGUCUUUUGAGACAUUGUCUCUGAGUGGUGGCAGCACAUGACAUUUUUUUAAUUUUUUUAUGGUUUAGCUAUUUAUUAUACUUUUUUUUUUUAAAAAAAGAUUUAGCUAUCCAGCCUGACAGACUACUCGAGAAAGGACUUAUGACAAGCCCUAAACUUUCCUUUUAUGCAGAGACUGGACAAAUGAUACAGGAUUUGACAAUUAACCCAAAAAUUUUCUUUUCAAGAUUUCCUAAAGAUAUCUUCACCACUAGAAAGUAAAAAGAAAAAGAGAAUAUAGAUAUGAGAUAGAUCAUUGAAUCUACUCUGAAAAAAAAGAUAAAGAAAUAAUAGGAUAAAUAGGUAGAUCACUGAAUCAGCACUGAAGAAAAGGGGGAAGAUAUAAAAAUGACAAAAGGUAGACUACUGAAUGUAUUAUGAAAAGAAAAAAGAGAGAAUAUGGUUAUCAUAAGAUAAAAAGGGAGAUUAUGGAAUCUACUUUUAAAAAGGAACUACUUGUUUUAAAGAAGAUAAGUAAUGAAAAAAUUUUGGUCUGAGUUUAUCAGAUGUUACUGGACUGGACAUUGUUAAUAUAUAUAAUGGAGUUUUUAUCUGAAUGUGUCAAAUGUUAAUGGACUAGACAUCAUUAAUGUAAUUUUGGCUGUAUAUAUUGUAUAUACUUAUUGCAUAGUUUUCUUGUAUGAGUUAUAAGCCUUUUUUAAUUUUAGACAAAAAGAGAGGAAAUGUGGUGGU